UUCACCUCGGACCACGCCAUGACACUGCGUUGAUGUUUUAGAUUUCGAAGCUCACAAGGAGGACACCACAAGUCCAAAUCAGGCCGGCUCUACAUCGACAAGUCACAGGUUCUCUGUCUUGUUCUUGAUGGCUUCAACAAGACUAGCAUACCCCACUCAGCACGCCAUGGCACUGCUUUGAUGUUUUAGCUCUUGAAGCGCGCAAGGAGACCACCACAAUUCCAAAUCUGGGCGGCUCUACAUCUACAGGUCACAGGUUCUCUGGCUGCAACAACAAGACUAGUAUUACCCACUCACCAAGCCAUGACAAAUGAGACAAGCAGGUUCCUAUAGGUCCAAAUCUAGCUGGAUCUACGCCAAUUACAAAUCCAGCUUUCCUGGCCAGGUUGUUCUCUAGUUUUGCUGGGUAAAAGGAACAAGGAGGAAGAUCAGAUCCAGCUACUUGUCAUCAGCAACAAGCUUGCACACUCUUUGAUCAUGACAAUGACUCCAUGAUAGUUCAAAAUCUCUAUGAUCAAGCUACAAUGACAACAAGACCAGCUGAGCCAUGAUGUCUCUUCUUUUUCUUUUUACGAGAAGAUUGUUCUGGUGGUUUCAGAUUCAAAAGUGCACAAGGAGGCUACCAAGAUCGAUCAGAUCUAAGCCAU